rnacentral:rRNA from 1 species
UACGUAGGGUGCAAGCGUUAAUCGGAAUUACUGGGCGUAAAGCGUGCGCAGGCGGUUGUGCAAGACCGAUGUGAAAUCCCCGGGCUUAACCUGGGAAUGGCAUUUGUGACUGCACGGCUAGAGUGUGUCAGAGGGGGGGUAGAAUUCCACGUGUAGCAGUGAAAUGCGUAGAGAUGUGGAGGAAUACCGAUGGCGAAGGCAGCCCCCUGGGAUAACACUGACGCUCAUGCACGAAAGCGUGGGGAGCAAACAGG